rnacentral:misc_RNA from 1 species
AGAAGGUUCUCAAUUUGAUGCACGACAGUAUGAUACCAAAAUGAAUGAAAUACUGACCUCAGAGGGUUCAGAUUUCUUAUCCUAUGAUGAGGUUCAUGAGAGUUUUGAUGAUAUGGGUCUAAAUGAGAACCUCUUGAGAGGCAUUUAUGCUUAUGGUUUUGAAAAACCCUCGGCUAUUCAGCAAAGGGGAAUUGUUCCUUUCUGCAAGGGACUUGAUGUUAUACAGCAAGCCCAAUCUGGGACAGGGAAAACUGCAACUUUCUGU